AGUCAAUAGAUACCCUGGUAGUCCACGCCGUAAACGAUGUCGACUUGGAGGUUGUGCCCUUGAGGCGUGGCUUCCGGAGCUAAACGCGUUAAGUCGACCGCCUGGGGAGUACGGCCGCAAGGUUAAAACUCAAAUGAAUUGACGGGGGCCCGCACAAGCGGUGGAGCAUGUGGUUUAAUUCGAUGCAACGCGAAGAACCUUACCUACUCUUGACGUCCAGAGAACUUUCCAGAGAUGGAUUGGUGCCUUCGGGAACUCUGAGACAGGUGCUGCAUGGCUGUCGUCAGCUCGUGUUGUGAAAUGUU
rnacentral:rRNA from 1 species